rnacentral:rRNA from 1 species
AACCUGCCCUAGAGACACGGACAACCCCGGGAAACUGGGAUUAAUCCGUGAUAGGUCACCUCAUCUGGAAGGAGAGAUGGCUUAAAGGGGUACGCGGGCUUCUUCUGCGUAUUCGCUCUAGGAUGGGACUGCGUCCGAUCAGGCUGUUGGCGGGGUAAUGGCCCACCAAACCUGUAACCGGUACGGGCCUUGAGAGAGGUGGCCCGGAGAUGGACACUGAGAGAAGGGUCCAGGUCCUACGGGGCGCAGCAGGCGCGAAACCUUCGCAAUGCGCGAAAGCGUGACGAGGUUAAUCCGAGUGGUCCCCGCUGAGGGGAUCUUUUGUCAGCUGUAAAUAGGCAGGCGAAUAAGGGGAGGGCAAGCCUGGUGUCAGCCGCCGCGGUAAUACCAGCUCCUCGAGUGGUCGGGGCGAUUAUUGGGCCUAAAGCAUCCGUAGCCGGUUCCGUAGGUCCUCUGUUAAAUCCAACCGCUUAACGGUUGACCUGCAGAGGAUACCGCGGGACUAGGAGGCGGGAGAGGCGGACGGUACUCCGCGUGUAGGGGUAAAAUCCUUUGAUCCGCGGAAGA